AUGUUAGCUUUGGCAGCACUUAUACUAAAAUUGGGAAGAUACAGAGAAGAUUUGCAAGGCCACUCUGCAAGGAUGACAUGCAAUUCAUGAAGCGUUCCUUAUUAAA